GCAGGGGUAGCCAAGCCUGGCCAACGGCGCGAGGCUUAGGACCUCGUCCUUAGUGGUUCCGCGGUUCAAAUCCGCGCCCCUGCA
rnacentral:tRNA from 1 species